GGGAUCCAGGGAGGGACAGUAACGGACUCUAUCCCAGCCACAGAAACUGUCCGCUUCAUACAAGUGUCUGGGAACACGCUUACACUUUUGGAGCCACCAGAAGAUGAUCCGGGGGAAGGCACAUCUGCAGCUGCAGAAUGCACUUCUGCAGAUGAGGAGACUGUGUCACUGGACUCCAGAAGGCUUGAGGACACAGAUGAUGCACAGUCUCCUAAGCAGCCUGGUAACAUUACUUCACAAACUGUCAGAAGGCUUUAUGCGAAGCACCUGGAGAGACAGAUAGAGCUGGCAGAUGUUAAAAUAAAACUGAAGAAGAGAAAGCUCCAAGAAAUGGAGCUGGAUCUUGAAAUUAAACGUCGGACACUCAGGAAACUGGACCUGGAAAUCCAGAAACUAGAAAGAGAAGAUCCAAGCAACCAAGGCAAAUGAGGGCUGCCAAAUAAAAAUUCAACUAGAAAACA